UUAACUCAAUUUUGUAUGGAGUCGGAACGUUUGCCUACGUUAGCCGCUAGGGACGCUGUUUCAACUGCAUACAAUUAUGAGUUA
rnacentral:pre_miRNA from 1 species